rnacentral:misc_RNA from 1 species
CCCCUUCAUCGCCCUCACUUUUCUAGAAACCUCCCUCUUUCGUUUGCGGCUCUCCCUGGAAGCCUCGCCGCCCUCCAUACCUGCACAAAGAAAAGUCAGUGAGUUUGCUAAGGUUCAGAGAUCAGAGAUGGGGAAUGUACCAGGGUGGAGGUCAGAGAGCUGGAGCUCGCAUCCUUCAUCGGUGAUCAGCCGCAUCAUCCAAUGUUUCAGCUCGACCAUCACCGCAUAUAAGCAAGAGAACUUCUUUGUAGCCUCCAGAUCCUUAGGUUCCAUUACCAUGGCACCCUGAUCCCUACUCAAAGCGAUCCUCUUCGGAAUUGGAGGGACCAGAUAUUGCCAGCUACGGGGGAAACCAUCGAAACCGUUCAGAAUCUUGCUCCUCAACAUGAAGAAGCGAUUUUUCUAAUUCUUCAGUGAGGAGGGGAGAUCGGUAAAAAGCCCACAGUGCGGUUUUGCCUAGAAGAACCAGUACUCGUCGUCCUUUCGGCGAGUAAGCCUAUGCAGCUCGGCAAAAACCUUCGCGGUAGGAUCGAGCUUCUUGGCCAGGCAUAAGCCUCUGAAAGUUAUUAGAAUUCACCACGAGUUCGGAUGUACUUGGGCUACACUUACGUGGUGAAACUUCAGAACAUCCUUGAAGAAGUCAUCAAGGGGAAAUCGAAGCCCGGCUUUUAAUUGCUCUUCGUACACCAUGAUCGCAUUAUUUUCAUCGAAAAAGUGAUCGGCUCGGAGAUCGCCAUGGCAUCUGAUGAGCUCGAAGGAGUCGGUCCGAAGGUUGUACUCUUGACUAAUCGACUGCAGAUCGGUUUCUUUAAGGAUUGACGGCAGUUCA